rnacentral:rRNA from 1 species
GAUGAACGCUAGCGGGAGGCUUAACACAUGCAAGUCGAGGGGCAGCACGUCUUCGGAUGGUGGCGACCGGCGAACGGGUGCGUAACGCGUAUGCAACCUACCCUUAACAGGGGAAUAGCCCCAGAGAAAUUUGGAUUAAUACUCCAUAGUAUUACGGAUUCGCAUGUUUCUGUAAUUAAAGUUCCAACGGUUAAGGAUGGGCAUGCGUGACAUUAGCUUGUGGUGAGGUAACGGCUCACCAAGGCAACGAUGUCUAGGGGUUCUGAGAGGAUGAUCCCCCCANACUGGUACUGAGACACGGACCAGA